rnacentral:snRNA from 1 species
GUUUUAGUAGCACAUGUACUAAAAUUGUAAAAAUACAGAGAAUAUUAGCUUGGCCCCCUCCACAAGAAUGACAUGUAAAUUUGCAAAAAAAGUUUCCAUAGUUUU